UACGAAGGGGGCAAGCGUUGUUCGGAAUUACUGGGCGUAAAGGGCGCGCAGGCGGCCGAUCAAGUCAGAUGUGAAAGCCCCGGGCUCAACCUGGGAAUAGCAUUUGGGACUGGUCGGCUAGAGUUCGGGAGAGGAGAGUGGAAUUCCCAGUGUAGAGGUGAAAUUCGUAGAUAUUGGGAAGAACACCGGUGGCGAAGGCGGCUCUCUGGACCGAGACUGACGCUGAGGCGGCGAAAGCGUGGGGAGCAAACAGG
rnacentral:rRNA from 1 species